CCUACGGGGGGCAGCAGCCGCGGUAAUACGUAGGGAGCAAGCGUUAUCCGGAUUUACUGGGUGUAAAGGGCGCGUAGGCGGGAUGGCAAGUCAGAUGUGAAAUCCAGGGGCUCAACCCCUGAACUGCAUUUGAAACUGUCGUUCUUGAGUACUGGAGAGGUUGACGGAAUUCCUAGUGUAGCGGUGAAAUGCGUAGAUAUUAGGAGGAACACCAGUGGCGAAGGCGGUCAACUGGACAGCAACUGACGCUGAGGCGCGAAAGCGUGGGGAGCAAACAGGAUUAGAUACCCCUGUAGUCCGAACAG
rnacentral:rRNA from 1 species